GCCGCCCCUCUCCCUUCAUUCCUUCUCCUCCCUCUCAUUCCCCAUCUCCUCCCCUCUCCCUCCUCUCCCUUCUCUCCCCAGUGAAGGGGAGAUCCACGCGCGGCCAGCCGGCCGCCGUGGGAGGUCGACCGCGGGCCGGUGUGGGAGCUCGGUGAGGGACAUCCACGCGCGGGAGCUCGACCACGGCCAUCGCGGGAGCUCGACUGCGGCCGGCGCAGGAGCUCGGCGCGGCCGCGAUCGCGGCGGCCGGCGCACGGGCCGUUCCCCGCCGACCCUUCCCCUUCCCUCUCUGCUCCUUUCCCCUGCUAGCUCCAACGCUGGCUCCCCUUCGUCCCUUCUCGCUGCUUCCCCUAGCUCUCUUAACCUACAGAUCCGCAGCGGCGGAGGGAACGGCAAGCUCGCGGCGAGCGUGGCGGCAUCGGGAGCGGCGAGCGCGGCAGCAGCGGGAGCGGCAAGUGCGGCGGCGGUGGGAGCGGCGAGAUCCGGCGCGGUGCCGUGCGAAUCGACCUCUGUAGGGACUAGGCGCGGCCACCCUGGCGUUGCCCUUCUCUGCCGGGGCCGGCUGCAGCAGCGCAGGAAGCGGCGAGCACGCAGCGGCGGCGGCAGCGGCGAGCUCGCAGCGAUGGCGGCGGCGGCGGGAGCGGCAAGCGCGGUGCUGCGACGGCGGCAGCAGCUGCAUGGCGAGCAGCGAGCGGCAGUGACGAGGCGGGGCGAGCGGCAGCAGUAGCAGCAACAGCGCAGCCUAUUUUUUUUUGUUUCCAAAUGGGGCAACACCGCCGGGUCUGAAACAGGCGGUGAUGGUUCGGACUAUCACCGUCGGGUCCGAAACCGGCGGUGAUGGCCCCGUCCAUCACCAACGAGUUAAAUCCAACGCCCCCCAAAACCGGCGGUGAUAGCUAUUUUGAACCGGCGGUGAUAGGGGGCGCUGGAGUAGUGCAGGAUGAUAUUCAACUGCUUGGAGCUUUACCCGUGCUACGUGCUCUUUAACUACGAGCAUACAACAAUGAAACUACCGAAGAACCAUGGCUGAUCGGCAUUGAUCAGCCGUUCCGCUCUCUGGUGGUGUUUAAGUUUGACCAAAAAGGACGGCGUUGGCUGGUGUUUGAUCAAGGAGUGAUGCCAAGGCUUCAGAUACUUCGUUUGUAUUUGACAUAUACAGUGCAAAAGGCCAGAAAACGUGGUGAUUUUUGCAUCGGCCUGGAGAACCUCACUUCCCUUGAACAUAUCUCUGUAAGGUAUUACUGUAAGGACGGCAAGCGUAGGGAGGCGGAGGCUGUGAAGAGUAAGAUCAGGGAUGCAAUUGAUCUCCAUCCAAACCA